CGCUGGCGGCAGGCCUAACACAUGCAAGUCGGACGGUAGCACAGAGAGCUUGCUCUCGGGUGACGAGUGGCGGACGGGUGAGUAAUGUCUGGGGAUCUGCCCGAUAGAGGGGGAUAACCACUGGAAACGGUGGCUAAUACCGCAUAACGUCGCAAGACCAAAGAGGGGGACCUUCGGGCCUCUCACUAUCGGAUGAACCCAGAUGGGAUUAGCUAGUAGGCGGGGUAAUGGCCCACCUAGGCGACGAUCCCUAGCUGGUCUGAGAGGAUGACCAGCCACACUGGAACUGAGACACGGUCCAGACUCCUACGGGAGGCAGCAGUGGGGAAUAUUGCACAAUGGGCGCAAGCCUGAUGCAGCCAUGCCGCGUGUAUGAAGAAGGCCUUCGGGUUGUAAAGUACUUUCAGCGGGGAGGAAGGCGAUGGGGUUAAUAACCUUAUCGAUUGACGUUACCCGCAGAAGAAGCACCGGCU
rnacentral:rRNA from 1 species